UCUACGUCACUCAAACGUCACGCAGGUUCUAGUGCGCAUGUCGGCUUCAGCAAGGAAGUGGCCAGCAUCAUCAUGUGUUGUGCCAGAAUCGUUUUGACAAACAAAACAAAACGCUCAAGUUUUACCGAAUUCCGUCAACUCGCACCCCUUUUAAGGCUAACCGGAGACGGCUUUGGUUGCAAUCGAUCAGAAGAAGCGAUUGGAGCAAGGACCUAAUUAAAAAUGCCCGCAUUUGCAGUGAUCACUUCAUAACAGGAGAGGCAUCUGAGGACUUCGACAGUCCUGACUUUGUACCGUUUGCUUUCUAGUCAACUCAGUCCAGCAAAGGCGAUGCAAAAAACGAGAGGUAAAUAUGGUCACUUCCUUGUGAUCUGUUGUUCACUGUGAUCACCCAGCAUGACUCGACAUACCAUGACUCGAAGUGCAGAGAAGAAAUGGUGAGUAAUUUAAUGUAGCUAUAUUUUUGUCAGGAUGAUCUGUUAGGCCAGAUAGUUUCUGUUAUGUCUACAUUAUCUCAUGAAGCCCUUUGAGGCGUGCUAUGUGAUUUCCACUGACUUGAAUUGAGGAUGUGAUAAACCUGUGGUCAACUGAGUAAAUUCACUGUUUUGUACGAACUGCUUGCUCUCUUCUGUGUAUUAGAUAUGAGAGAAAAAGAAGAAGGGAUGAAACCCCCCACAGACGGCCAGACAAUGGACAUCAGUCCAGAGAAGUUGUUGAUGAGGCUGUAUCGGAAUCCACACGUGCUUCCCUCUCCCCAAAUGAUUGCGGAAUGGAGUCUGGUGCUGGUCCUUGCACUGAAGCCACGGUCCUGAGGGCUCUCCAUGAUGACCUCAAACAGAAGUACAGCCAACUUUCUACAGAAUGUGACAACCUGCAUGUGGACAUCAACAAACUCAAAGCCGAGAAUGAACAACUAAAAGCAACACUCAGGAACACACAGUUUUCCUUUAGCGCUAUCAAAUGCAAAGCAGCACAGGUUCUGCUUUUCACAGGUCUGACCAGUGUCUUUUUUUGAGCGGUUGCUCCAAACAGUUAAAGACAGUGUAGAGGUUGUGCGUGGCUCUCUGACCCUGGAGGACCAUCUAUUGGCUAUCCUGAUGAAACCCCGAUUAGGGCUCAGCAACAAGGAUAUUGCAUUCAGAUUUAAUGUUACCGAAUGUGACAUCUCUAAAACUAUGAGAAGUUGGCUCCCUGUUAUGUCUCAGGUUUUGAAACCUCUCAUCAAGUGGCCAAGCAAAUAUGCAAUAUUAAGGAAUAUGCCAAAAUGUUUUAAAGCUAAAUACAUGCGUUGCAGAUGCAUUAUUGUCUGCACUGAAAUUUUUAUUAACAGACACACAAAUCUAACCUCCAGAGACCAAACAUAUUCGAAUUAUAAGAGCCACAACACAGUUAAGUGUUUGGUUGGCAUGUAACCUGAAGGAACCAUUACUUUUCUGUCUGCAGGUUAGGGUGGGCGUGUUUCUGAUAAACAACUUACAGCUGAGUCUGGAUUUUAUGACCUUCUAGAAGUAAAUGAUGAGAUACCAGCAGAUCAUGGUUUUAGCAUCAGAGAUGAGCUUGCCGUAUGCAGUGCCACCCUUAGAAUCCCUCACUUUACCAAAUGUAAAAAGCAGCUCUCUGCUCAAGAAGGGGAAACAUCAAGGCGUUUGUCUAAUGUGAGAAUACACAUUGAAAGAGUGAUGGGUAGAUGGAAGAUUUCACAAUUCUGACAACUGUUAUUCCACUCACACACCCUAACCUCUUAGAUGACAUGGUGGUUGUGUGUGCAGCAUUAACAAACCUUUGUAAAAGUAUAGUCCCUAGAAAAUAACUUGUCAAUGUUUUGAGAAAGGAUCCAUGAAAUUAUGAUCUACAUUUUCCAGUAUGUAGAGUCAAAGAUACAUUUCAAGGUUUUUAUUAGUCAUACGUUUAUGUGCAGGUACAGCAGCAGUGACAUGAGGUAAUUUUAUCUUAUUUUUUUUACAACAUGCACACUUAUUGUAAAAAACUUAUUAUUGAUAUUAAUUCAACAUUCAAUUGUUGUAAUGUAAGAUACAACUACAGGCAAUGCCAGUUUAUUACUGCAUUAAAUGAU